UGGGGAAUUUUGGACAAUGGGCGAAAGCCUGAUCCAGCAAUGCCGCGUGUGUGAAGAAGGCCUUCGGGUUGUAAAGCACUUUUGUCCGGAAAGAAAUCCUUGGCUCUAAUACAGUCGGGGGAUGACGGUACCGGAAGAAUAAGCACCGGCUAACUACGUGCCAGCAGCCGCGGUAAUACGUAGGGUGCAAGCGUUAAUCGGAAUUACUGGGCGUAAAGCGUGCGCAGGCGGUUUGCUAAGACCGAUGUGAAAUCCCCGGGCUCAACCUGGGAACUGCAUUGGUGACUGGCAGGCUAGAGUAUGGCAGAGGGGGGUAGAAUUCCACGUGUAGCAGUGAAAUGCGUAGAGAUGUGGAGGAAUACCGAUGGCGAAGGCAGCCCCCUGGGCCAAUACUGACGCUCAUGCACGAAAGCGUGGGGAGCAAACAGGAUUAGAUACCCUGGUAGUCCACGCCCUAAACGAUGUCAACUAGUUGUUGGGGAUUCAUUUCCUUAGUAACGUAGCUAACGUGUGAAGUUGACCGCCUGGGGAGUACGGUCGCAAGAUUAAAACUCAAAUGAAUUGACGGGGUCAUAGCUGUUUCCU
rnacentral:rRNA from 1 species